UCCCAGGAGAGUGCACCCUCUGGCCCUGGAGUCUAAGACCUCGACUUCGGCCCCCAAAACACGCCCUAGGGCACCCACAACGCGCCUGGCACAACUCGGGGUUCAGCUCAUCCUAAAACAGCACCCGCCAGUCUCCCCGCAAACGAGUGGAAGACUCCAGGGCGUCUCUCACCUUCGUGUUGACCUGCGCGGUGUGGGAGGCUGUCAGCUCUAAGAGGAAGCGAGACGAAGUGAGACAAAGUGGGCGCCCUCCGCCCUCCUGGCCCGGGGCUACCUCCUCGGUCCUGGACAGAUCCCGCACUCUGUCAGCCAGGGGUCAGCAGUGAUGUCAACCACAGCCGAGCUCUGAGGGCUCGUGAGGGGCCAGCCAUGGGGCAAAGUGUUUUUGUGCCGUCGCACGUGACCCGCACGACAAGCAGAGGGCAGCUAACCCCGGGGCAGAGACAGGAGCCCACUGCCAAGAAGGCAUGGCUGUGCCUGCAAGGCCUGGCCCAGCUCACAGGGCCUUGGGCAGGGGCUGGACCCCCACCGGCCCUCCCCCUGACACCUCGGGAGCGCCAAGGAACAGUACCCAGAGGUGGGAGCAGUGCACGGCGGUCUUGAUUUUCUCCACCAAGGCGAUCAGUCCCCAUCUUCCUGGAUUUGGGAACAGCAUUCGAGGCUACUGGCCGCGCCCUUCUUCCAACAACACGGUGCCUCUGACCACUUUCGCCGUCCUUCUCGCCGUCCCCUCCCCGGCUGGACCUCUGAGCGGCUGUCCUUCCCGGGCAGCACGCUUCCAGCGUGCCCUGCUCCGGUGGCUGGCUCCACCGCCCAUCCACGCCCGCCGACGCAUCCUGCACGCUGCCCUCUCCCUCGCCGUUCACAGCUCGGUGCCAGGCUUCAUGGCCGCGACUUUUUAAAGGCUUCUCAGCUCCGCGUUCGUCCACGCUGCUCCACCACCGCUCUGGCCCAAGCACCCAGCGUCUGGACCCUGGUCCCCUCCAAGGCUCCAGGUCAGGUGGGGGCCGACACCCGAGCCCAGGCUCCUGGGCUCCAAGCUCCUCAUGCCUCCAGGGCCCGUCUCGACGCCACCUCGCUGAGCAGGUUCGUGCCCACAGCACCUGUGUCUCUGCAGCGCUGGCCCGAGGCUGAGACUGGAUGAGCGCUGCCUCCUCCCACUGCCCACUUCAAAAGGAAGGGACACGUGGCCUUGCAGGGGUCUUGAGGGGGCCCUGGCAUAGACUGGGUGAGUGGGUGGCCCUGCCCGGCCCGGGCCAGCUCUCUCCCUACUCCGUCUACCCCAUGGCUUCUGCCAAGUGGGACUCCCUCUGUCCAGGGCCACAGUGCGAGCAGAGAAGGCUGUUGGGGAGGGGGCCGUACUGGACUCCUGCGGCGAUUGCCAGCAGCAUGGGCGUGGGGCUGUCCUGAUGGACCCUGAGCCAGAGAGGUCCGAAAGAGCCUUCCAGGGGCCUGAGCUCACCUUGACCUCAUCUGUAAUCAUCAUGGCGUCUUGGGACAUGACUGUCAUAUCCGACAGUUCCGAGCAGUAGUCCACCACGAGAUUCUGCAGCUUGUCCAGCUCUGUGGGGUAUCCUGCCAGCUCCUGGAUUGAAGGGGCAAGGCCAGGUGGGCACAGAGUCUGAUGGCCCAGGGGCUGCGGGCCAUCCACGUGCCACCCCGGCCCCUCCCUGCUUCUCUGGCGGCCCCUACAGAGGGCCUGCACCUGCCCCCCCAGCCCUCACCCAGAAUGCUAGUGUCCAAGGACAGUGGCCUGUGGCCCCGGCCCCCUGCUGGGCACAGAGCAAGUGACAGUGUUUCGGGAGGGGCACACAGCAUUUUCCUGGUGGACUCUCCCACCGCCCCAGGGACAGACAGCCUAGAGAUACUUCCGGCAACGGGUCCCACCGUGAGAGGUGACUCAAACCCAGGGAGGCCCACUGCUUGGGAGUGGCUGCUGUCUACAGUGAAGCAGAAGGGCUCAAAAUGGGUUUGAGGUCAGAGACUCGGAGUUCAAGGCCAAGGUCCCCCUGACCUUGAGCUGUGGGACCUUGGGAGAGCCGCUUAACCUGAGUGUCCCCAUCUAUAAAAUCGGUGACGAUGGCUCUUUCAGAAGGGUGCUGUCAAGGUCGACUGAGAAGGUACAGCGAAGUACUUAGAACGGGGCCAGGGUCCUAAGUGUCCAAGAUAUCUUGGCUCUUGAUGUUUUGUUAAUAACUACAAUGUGGAAUA